rnacentral:lncRNA from 1 species
GAUAUUCAUGCUAAACUCGUACUCCUUAUCACUGUCACAAUCAUGUUUAUCGUCGACCUUGAUUUCCCCAACUUUGAUCGUAAACCAUUCAUUGGGUGGUCUAGAUUCGAGGUUUUCCUUGAUCACAACUGUUAUUGCUUUUGGGUAGGUGAUUUCAAAGUUAGUAGGUACAUGAUAUCCAGUGGCAUAAGGCUUGCACAAAAGUUCAAACAAUACGUCAUAUGUAAGGGUAGAUGAUAGCAUAUGUUGCUUGAUCUUUCCACGUGCUUCUAGAAAAGUUAUUUCACUAAAUGCAGCCAAUUCAGUUUUCUUACUGUCGAAGGAUUCAUCAACAACAAAUCAACAACUUUAGAAAUAGUAACUACGAUGAAAAAAAACUACUUUAUGCAUUUCACUUAAUUUAAUCUAUAUAAUUUGAGAGAAUCCUAUGAAUAUUGUAUUGUAAAUAGAAUAUGUUAUAAAUCAUGGAGAACAAUAAAUUUUAAUUAUAUAUUGAAGACCGAAUAAUUCUAACCUUCGUCUGAUUAAAGAUCAAAAUUUUGUAAUUUAAUCUAUUUAAUUUUCAAAAUUACACUCAAACAACCCUUUUAAUUUUGAUUACAAAAUAAAUAAUUAAGAUUCAUUUCAUUCAAAUUCAGACCUAAUCUAUCGCUUCUUUUAUAUUUUAUUUUAAUUUUUUUUUCAUCUUGUUAUAUACUUUCAAUCUGUUUACAACACACAAGAAAAGGAAAAAGAAAAUUCCAAUUUUAUCUUUAUAGUUUAAAUUUUGUUUAAUUUUAAUUCAUUAUUUUCAAUAAUAAAUCUUAAAUUUAAUUUAGUCCUAUAAUAUAUAAACAUGUAUUUUCUAAAUUUAUGGUAAAAUUGUAUAUAGAUAACAAAGAUCAAUUUAUUUAUUUACCUAAAAUCAACCAAAUUAAACUACCCCUCAAACUAAGUUAAAGAAACUUACAAAUAUAUAGCAAAUUGACCAUGCAUGAUAAUGGAAAUUGUGACAUUUUGUUAUAUUUAAAAAUAAUAUUUCAAAAUGUAGAGACUAAAACGAUAUGGUUAAAAAAUAAGUAUACCCAUUAAACUCCGAAUCUUUCCAUCUGAUCAACUUCUGACGAUCGAAAGAUAUUUUGAGGCCUCUCGGAGGUAUAAAGAACGCAUUACCCUUUGCCUUCUCAUCAAACCAAUACAUCUGCAUACAAACAAAUCAUACUCAGCUUUAACAAUUUUGAAUAUCUAUUCAAAUCUCGGUAUAAGAUUAAAAAUAAAUUAAAUUACAAUGUAAAAAUAAAUUUGUGUUUUAACUUAAUUUCUAUGUAAACAAAUUUGAAUAAUAUUAGGGCAUGUAUGUUUGAGAGUGUUUUUAUAAAUAUUAAUUUUAAACAUUACAUAACAUUUUUUUUGGUAAUAGUAUGAUAAAUCACAUUUUAAACUUUCAAAGAAGUAGAUACAUAGAAGAUAAGAUUAUUAUUAAGUGUAGAGAAGAAAGGUAGAUAGACAAAUUUAAUGACAAUUCAAGAGUACGUCAAAAGUAAUUUUAGACAUUUCAAAAUCAGUUUAAAACAUGUGUUUAAUAUUUUUGUUUAUGAAUCCUUCUAAUAUCAAUUAUAUUAUACUCUAAAAUAAACGUAAAAAUGAUAUUACACUUGCCUUGUUUCCAUUGUCUAUGUAGAUCCCAUCACAAAGUUGUUUAAAAAGCUUAGCGUCGAUGAGUCCGCUGUGCGACGCAUGAUCUCCAUCUAUUGGCAAGAUACAUUUGAAGCACUGAUAUUUUUCUAUUAAUUUUAAAUUCUCUCUUUCUUCUUGAAGCUCUGACCAAUCCAUGUAAAGAGGUUUAUUUGGAUUAUUGAGAGAUUGGAGAUAUAGACGAAGAAUGAGAGUGGUGUAAGGCACACGUAUGCAUAUAUAUAUAUAUAUAUAUAUAUAUAUAUAUAUAUAUGACCUUUUUUAGGUAUACCAAUGUGCCAAAGUUGAUGUAUCUGGAUGAAGCUACUUUCAUCUCUUUAUGUGUAAAAUUAUUUGAUACUUUUAAAAGUAAUGACUUAAUGCUAAAAUAAAUAUACUUUAAUUGAUAUAAUACUAUUUAUAGUAUAACAAUUACUUUCGAGAUGAGACCUUUUGAUUCUUCUAUACCUCUUAUGUAUAGUAAAAAAAAAAAGAAAAAGAAGAAAGAAAAGUAAAUGAUUUAAUUCUGUAUAUAUAUCUCUUCUUUUUCCUCUCCUUUUCUAUUAACUUUUUAUUUCACAUAUAUGUUCUUUUCUGUACAUUAAUUUAAAAUAAUUUUAUAAUAGAAUGUAUUAUAUGAAAACUACGGCACAAUAAUAUAUAUAAUCAACAUACUUAAUAAACUAAUAAUUAUGAGUAAAUUCAUAUGGAUAAAAAAAAUUAAAAUUAUUUAUAAAAUAUAGUAAAAAAAUUAAAAUAUGCUAACAACAAUUUGAUAGAUUUUUGUAUGUUUAAGUUUUUUGUUUUUUUUUGUUAUAUUUGAAAAUGCUAAUUAUAAAUAAAUUAAUUAGAUUUGAAUGAUGAAUGGAGGUGUGUAAUUAAUUUUUUUUAUUGGUUAGAAUGUAUUACAUUUUAAUGUUAUAUUGGAACUUUUAACUAAUAAGUAAUCCACCAAUUUACAUUAAUCCACUUUUUCCCCUUAUUGUAUGAAUUAUUUUAAAUUAAUCCACUCACUUAAUUAAUUUAUACAUGCAUUUGAUGCCGUUUAAAAUGUAGUGAUUUUCUUUUUUAAAAAAUGACAAAUAUAGUUAUUUGAAGAAAAUUAUUAGUAGAUAUAGUAUAUCCGAAAAAAAUUGUUAAUAGACUUGGAGUAUAUCAAGACUAUCAUUACUAUAUUAAAAGUGAUUUAGGAGAGAAUCAAUUUUAGACUCUUUCUAUCCUUUCCAAAUUCUAAACUUUAAAGUUACAAAAUUAUUAUCCUAUAUUUUAAGAUAAACAUUAGUUAUUUUUUAAAUAUAUAAAUAAAAAACGGAUAUAUUCAAUGACUUUUGUAAAAGAAAUUUAUUGACUAUAUUAUUUUAUAAUUGAUUUAUUAUUUAUUUAAUAUCAAGAAUAAAAUCUAUAUUAUUUAAAGAUAAAAAAUGUUAGAAUAUAUGAAUUGUUUUUUCCUAUUUAUUUUAAUAAUUUAAAAACUCAAAUCUAUGAAUUUACAUCGUGCAAAGCCUUUUGUUUUCUAAUUUAUUAUUUUUUUAUUUAAUUUAGUUAUAUAAUCAAUAAUCAUUUUACAAUUCUUUUCUAUCCACUAACUAGGUAAUUUAGUUAUAUAAACAUUAUUUAGGUGUAAAAGUCAAGAAAUAGUCACUUUUACGUUAUAACACUGUUUAUUGUUUAAGACUUACUAUUUCUUUCUAUUGAUGACCUUUGGUAACUUAAUCUUAAUCCCUUUUAUUCACACAUAAUUAUCAGAUCUGCAUAGGUGAGGGUAAUUUAAUAGCAUUGGCCAUAUAAGCCUUCCAUUUAAGAGGUAAGAGUGAGUAGACAGCUGGAGACAUAGGGUGUAAGAUGGACUUCACUCUUGACUGUUUUAGAGUCAACAUAUAGGUUGUUCCCUUAUUCACUGAAUCCAGAUCUUGAACAAUGGGCCCCAUCCUCUCAUUAGCUCAAGAGGGAUUCGAUUUAUAGAUUCCCUUAAACCAAAUUUUCACUAGAGAAUCAUUGAGACUUAAGGAACGAGAUGUAAUCUCAGGGGUAUAGAACAAUAUUUUGACCCAACUGGGAUUAUGAACAACCUGUUGCUUGUUUGUUUGGAACUUGCUUGUUGUUUUGGGAACAAUAUUCUAAAAAACUUGCCUUGACUAAGGCAUAUGGACUUACUUAGACAAACCAAAAUUGUGUGGCCUUUUUAUAGUUUGUAUGUUUGGUAUGUGGUGUAACUGUGUUAGGGUCAAUAUUUGACUUCUCAUGACGUGCCAUUGAAUACGAAUCAUUGCAUGCAAAUUGCUCUCCAUUAUUCUCUUCAUCAUGAGAGUGAACAUGAUCGUUGCAUGUAAAAUGCUCCCAAUGUACUCACCAUCUAUUUUUAAGUCCUAAACGUACAAGUUUUCCUAUUGCUUGCCUAAGUAUAAGCGAAGCAAUAGGUUUACCCUAAGUAAUCCAUGGUCGAACACAGAGAAUUAAUAUCAAAGCUUAGUUCAAGGAUCUACUCAUAAAUUAGGCGUUAUGACAAAUAAAGUAAAUGAAUGUAAAAAAAAUUAUAAUUAUGUAUAUAUCCUAGAGAUACUAUAAAGGUGAUUUAAUGAAAGUGGUUGAUAGAAAGAAGGAGGUGUAGAUGGAGAGUGCACUAACUUGUAUUAAGAAAAGGGCUAAAGGAAGGUCUAAUGCUAUUAGGUGAAUAAGCUUUAUAUGAACACCUCAACGUAAUAUAGCUCAUUAAACUAGCUUAUGAUUAAGACGUGCUUCUGAUAAGGCAAUCCUAAUCCUCAAUUCAAAGUUCCAAACUAUUAACGUAGCAAGAACCUUUGAAAUAAGAAACUAACACCUCCUUAUACUAAUUUAGAUAACCAAGAGAAAGUUAGGAUUAGAUUACCUUUUAGAUUGAAAAUUUAGAAGCAAGAUUUGAAAAUCUUGUUCUAAAUUGAGUCACUCCAUAAUCAAACAUGAUCAAGGUUAGAUUGAAUGGCUCGCAUGCAUUCUAUCACAAGAAUUGCAAAUUAAGGGAAAACUCUCAAAAUGAGAUUUCAAAUUGCAUUCAUUAAAAGUCUCGUGCUUACAAAUGAAAGAAUAAAGGCAUUAUAUAGUCUUGUAGAGGUUCUAUCCUAAUUAAUUAUGAAAAUAUCAAAAGUCUUUAAAAUAUUAAAUAAUCUUUUUAUCUUCCAACAACUAAUUUUCAACUACCAUCUUUAAUACUAAGCUAUUAAUGGUAUUUACCCUAACUUGUUCAAUUAGAACAAAUGAAAAUACAAUAAAAGUGUGAUAUUAAGUAAGUCAUGCGGCAUUCAAAUUGUUGGCUUCAAGGAAGCUUAAUGUCUACCCCGUAGUCCACUUCAAUUGAGAAAACGUUGACCUUCAAAUCUCCAAAUGGUCCUUCGUCUCUUGUAUUAGUAUGUGACACAUGAAAUUCACGGUGGACCCUAUCCAUUCUUGUACAUGAAGAAUGAAUGAUUGUUGAAUCUUUGAUGCUUUAGAUAUUAUAAUUGGUCCUUCCGGAACGAGUAGAACACCACGAUUCACAUCAUUUUUCCCCUCUUCAAAAGGAUUCGUCCUCGAAUCAAGAAAUUCAUCACCUACAUCAAAAGGAUUCAAGUCAACAUUGAAAGUAGAACUUAUCGAAUAUUCUCCUUGAAGGUCAAUUUUGUAUGCAUUGCUGUUAAUUUUUCAAGAACAUGGAAAGGUCCAUCCCCUCUUGGAUGUAACUUUGUUUUCCUUUGAGACGAAAAUCACUCCUUUCAAAAAUGCACCCAAACCCAAUCUCUCGAUUUAAAAAUCAGUUCUCUUAUUCCUUUGUUGGCUCUUAAAGCUACUUUGGAGUUAUUUUUCUCAAUCCUUUCUUUCACUUCCUUGUGCAAUGUCUUGAUCAACUUUACCUUGUUUAUAGCUGCAUCACUUACAAACACAUUACAAGGAAUAGACAGCAAAUCAAGAGGUGUAAGUGGGUUAAACCCAUAAACAACUUCAAAAGAAUAACAAUGAGCUGUACUAUGAAUCACUCUAUUAUAUGCAAAUUCAACAAAUGGUAAAGAAUCCUCCCAAUACUUAAUGUUCUUUGAAAUAAUUGCCUGAAGUAAAGAACCCAAGGUUCUAUUAACCACUUCGGUUUGCUCAUUAGUUUGAGGAUGACACAUAGUUGAAAACAACAACUUCGUCCCCAACUUACCCCACAAUACUUUCCAAAAAUGGCUUAAAAACUUUACAUCCCUAUCACUAACAAUAAUUUUAGGAAUUCCAUGCAACCUUAAAACUUCUCUAAAGAACAAAAUCAGCCACAUGCUUAGCAUCAUCGAUUUUGUUACAUGGUAUAAAAUGUGUCAUUUUACUAAAUUUGUCUACAACAACAAAAAUAUUAUCCUUAUCCUUUUUAGUCCGUGGCAAAUCCAUAGAUAUGUCAGUACAAAGUUCAUUAGGCACAUUCAAGGGAGAAUACAUUAAUCCAUUGGGUUGUGAUCUAGAUUUAGCCUCUUUGCAUUUAAAACAUUGACUAUAAACCUAUUGAACAUCAUGUUUCAUUUUAGACUAAAAGAAAUAUUCAUGUAACAUAUCAUAGGUUUUAUGAAUUCCAAAAUGUCCCAUUAAUCCACCCUCGUGAGCUUCUUUAACAAGUAGUUAUCUUAUAUAGAACACUUACGAACACAAAGCUUACUUUUCUUGAACAAAAAAAUCACGAAACACAUAAUAAUCAUCAACAACUUUUCCAUCAAGACAAGAUGAACAGAUCAUUCCAUCAUUCCAAAAUCAGUGCCAUCUCUAUAUAACUCCUUAACAUGUUCAAAUCCAAGAAUUUUUGCACUAAGAGAAGUAAAGAGAUUGUACCUUCUUGACAAAGCAUCAGCUACUACAUUGUUUUUACCUUGCUCAUAUUUGAUUACAUAGAGAAAUGUUUCAAUGAACUCAAUCCACUUUACGUGCCUACAAUUCAAUUUGCUUUGUCCCUUAAGGUGCUUCAAGCUUUCAUGAUCAGUAUGAAUUACAAAUUCUCUUGACCAUAGGUAAUGUUGCCAUACUUGCAAGGCAUGAACUAGAGCAAAUAAUUCUUUAUCAUAAAUAGGGUAAUUCAAACUUAUCCCACUCAGGUUUUCACUAAAAUACAUUAAAGGCUUUUCGUCUUGCAUCAAAACAACACCUAUGUCCAACCCACUUGCAUCACACUCAAUUUCAAAUGUUUUAUCAAAAUUAGGCAAAAUAAGUAUUGGUGCAUUCAUCAAUUUUUCUUUAAGCUCUUUAAAGGCUUUCUCUUGUUUUUCUCCCCAUUCAAAGGCAACAUGCUUUUUCAUUAAAUCAUUCAACGGUGUAGUUAUAGUACUAAAGUCCUUUAUGAAUCUUUUAUAGAAACUAGCAAAACUAUGAAAACUCCUAAUAUCACUUGCAUUUUUGGGUGUUGGUCAUUCUGUAAUUGCCUUAACUUUCUCUUCAUCUACUUCAACUCCAUUUUUAUCCACUAUGGAGCCAAGAAAGUUGACCUUUUCCAUGCAAAAAUUACACUUGCUUUAGUUAGCAUAAAGCCUCUCCUGUCCAAGUGUAGUUAACGUCGCCCUAACAUGCUUCUCAUAAUCAAUCAAAGUCUCGAAUAAAUCAAAAUAUCAUCAAAGUGAUUUGAAGAAUUAUCUUCAAAGAUUUCAGUCAAUGAUAUCCAAAAAUGAUUCGAAGAUUGAUAUUCAAAGAUUUUGGUCAAAGGAUCUUGAGAAAGUUUGUCGACAAAAAAAGUAAUAAAAUAUCUUCUUGUGAGAGAAAACGUCAUCAACUACGGGAGCAACAAAUCCCUAAAAAAUCUGGAAUAAUAUAAUCUUGGGAUAAUAUAAUUCUUCUUUUAAUAAACUCAAAGAAUUUUAAAAAGUAAAUAAAAUUUAUUGUUAAAAAAUUUAACAUUUUCCUUAAAAAGAUUAGUAAAUAUACAUCUUCUAAACAUAUGAUCCUCAUCAUGAAUCAUUUACCAGUUUCCAUUUUUUCAUUUUUUUUAGUAUAUCAUCAAAUACUGCUUAAUAACAACAUUCUAUGUUUUGAGAUACUAGAAUUAUUUGUUAACUCCAGCUCUAUAUUUGUAACAAAUAUAUAUACACAAAAUAAAGUAUAAUAAUUUUAUAUUUUAUACACAAGACAUCUAUUACAUCCUGAUACCGUCGUUUAUAUUAUAAAACAAACUAGAGUAUAGUAUACCUCUCUCAUUUAUUUAAACCAAACUACAAGUAGGGUAGUUGGAGUGAGACAAACUUAGAGAUUCAUAUUCUUAGCUUUUGCAACAUGGUUGCUUUGGUCGAAUUUCAAAACUUUUAAAGAUCAAUCCCGACUUCCAAUGUUGAUUGUGGUUAUACAUGCUAAACUCGUACUCCUUAGCAUUCAAACAACCAUGUUUAUCGCCAAUCUUGAAUUCCUCGACCUUGAUCGUAAACCAAACAUCUCGUGGCUUACAUUCUAGGCUUUCACUGUUCACAAAUUUUGUCCCAUUUGGCAAGGUGAGUCCAAAGUUAAUAGGUUCAUGCCAUCCCGAUGCACACGACUUUAACAAAAGAUGACAUAAUAGUUCAUAUGUAACGCCAGCUGAUAGCAUAUAUUCCUUGAUCCUUACACGUACAUCUAGCCAACGAACUUUUACAAGCUCAGCCACGUCAAUUUUCUUACUGCCAAAGUUUUUUUACACCAUCAUCAACAAAUAAACAACUUUUAAAAUAAUGACCGACUACUUAAAAAAAACUACUUAUUAUAUUUUUUAAACCUCGUAUUCAUCUCUAUGGUUUCACAAAAAGUUAAGUUCAAUUUAAUCUUGUCAAUUUUUAGAAAGUAGUUUCAUUAGUGAAACAUUUAUCAAAUCAUAGAGACUAAUUUAAUCUACUUUGUUCCGUAAAACCAUUUCACAAAAUUACACCCAAACAACCCUUUUAAUUUUGAUUAGUAAAUAAAUAAUGAAGAUUAAAGUUCAUUCAUUCAAACCUAAUCUAUCUCUUCUUUUGUGUUUUAUUUUUUCAUUUUUUUUAUCUCAGUAUAUACCUUCCAUAAUUCAUCAUUUCAUUUUUCAACACAUAAAAAAAAAGAAAAACAUAAAAAAAGAAAAAGAAAAAGAAAACCAAUUCAAAUUUUGUUCUCGUAAUUUAAAUUUUGUUUAAUUUUAAUAAACUACUUUCCAUAAUAAAUCUUAAAUGUAGCUUACAUGAAUAUGUGUUUUCUAAAUUUAUGGGAAAAUUAAUAUUGUUUAUACAUAACAAAGAGUUUAUUUAUUUAUGUAAAAUCAACCAUAAACUAACAAUAUGGAUUAAAACUUAUUGAAAGGAGAAAGAACUAAUAACCUGCUUUCAAAUAUAAUCAACUAAGUUAACUAACUUACAAAUAAAUAUAUAGCAAAUUAAAUCGAUGUAGACACUGACAAUAUAUAUAAGUGUAAAUUGUGACAUUUUAUUAUAUUAGAAAAUUGAUAUUUCAAAAUAUAGAAACGAAGACGAUAUUUAAUGCGGUUAGAAAAAAUAAGAAUACCCAAAAAUCUCGAUAGAUAUCCAUCUCCAGUACUGACAUUCAUUGAUCCAAGCUAUUGAGAUGGCUUUUGGAAAUAUGAAGUAGGCAUUACCCCUUCCCUUCCUAUGAAACCAAUAAAUCUGCAUACAAACUAAUCAUAAUCAACUCUUUAACAAAUUUUAAUUAAAGAUAAAUAAUAAUAAUAAUAACAAAAAAGAAAUUUCCAUAUCUUCUGUGUUUUAAGUUUAUUUCUAUGUAAAAAAAAUUGAACGCUAAUAUCAAGAUUUGUUCGAGAAUCAUUUUAAUAUUUGGUUCUAUACUUUUAACUAAGUAUUUUUUUUUCUAGUAAAUAUUUGGUUUGAUACUUGUAGAAAUAGUUUUGUUCCAUGUAUGAUCAAUUGAAAUAAUUUUUUCAAGGACUAAUGUUUUUUUGUUUUUAAUGUUAGUUGUAGAAUCAUCCAAUUACUAAAAGAAAUUUAGAUUAAAAACAAUUACAUGCAUAUGCAUGGAAGUUAAGAUUAUUAGAUGUAAAGAAGAAAUUUAGAAAUAGAACAAACACAAUUUUAGAAGAAAAGUGAUUUGAGACAAGUUGAAAUGAGUGAUUUUAGUCUUUACAAAAUCACUCAUAAUCAUAUCUUUUUAACUCUUUUUAUAAGUCCUUCUAAUAUCAACUAUAUAAUACUCUAAAAGAAAUUAAAAAUAAUGUUACACUUGCCUUAGAUCCAUUGUUGAGGGAAGUCCCAUCACAAAGUUGUUUAUAGAGCUCAGAGGGGGAGGGCCAGUGCACCUCAUGAUCUCCAGUUGUUGGCAAAAUAUAACUCAAGCAAUGACCAUAUUUCUCUUUUGUUUCCGAGUUCUCUCUUGCUUCAAGCUCUGAGGAAACCAUUUCAAGAGGUUAACUUGGAUAGUAAGAGAGUAGAGAUAUGGAUGAAGAUGAGAGUGGUGUAAAACGUGCACACACACGUAUAUAUAGGCUCUAUCUUGUUUCGUAUAAUAAUGUUUUAAAGAUGGGACGUGACAAUUAGCUAUUAUAAUGUCCCUUAUCUUUAGCUAUUUGAUAAUUUUAAAAAGCAACGAUUUAAUUAUGGUCAAAAUAAGAAUUACUCAAAGUGUUAUAAUACAUGCACUAGAAUUAAUUUCAAGAUUAAACUUUUGAUUCUCUUCACACCUCGUUUGUCUAUAGUAAAAAAAAAAAGAAAAAAAGUAAAUGAUUUAAUUCUCUAUAUCUCAUUUUUUUCCUCUCUCCUUCCCUAUUAGCUUUUUCUUUCACAUACAUGUACCUUUUUAUACAUUAAUUUAAAUUUAAAUAUUUUGAUUAAAUCUAUAAUUGAAUCCAUUACAUGAAAAUUAACUUCACAACAAUAUAUAGAAUUGACAUAAUUAAUUAUUUUAACCAAUUAUGUAGUAUUUAAUAAAAUUUAAUUAUGUAACAAUGUCUUGGCUUGACUGAUCCUCCCCUCAACAAAUGCCUCUUAUACUUGGUCCAACCUCAGAGUUUCUGUUCUCUGCAGACUUGACAUAUUCCUAUAUUCCUCGUCCGGGGAAAGCAAGUUUACCAAUCAUUUUAGCAAGCUUCUAUUUUGCUUGAAUCAAAGAACCUCAAAUGGGAUCUGGUUCCCUUCAGGAUCAACAAUUGUAUGCAGAAUGAAAAAGAGUUACUUAAUAAAGUGGUUAGUUGUUGGCCAAACACUGCACAAGAGAGAUAUCUUGGCUAUGCUUUCAUGCGAAGACUGAGACAAUUGACCAGAAAAAUCAAAAGUUGGCAGUUCGAGAAGAAAAAUGCAUCUAAAAGGGAUAGUGAAGCUUUCAAAUCUGAGAUAGACAAGAUUGACUUGCUGGAAGCCUAGAAUGCCCUUAUAUUUAUUUAUAGUGACCAAAGGAAAAUCUUAUAGACCGACCUUGCUGAUCUUAUUUUCAAAGAAUCUCAAUACUGAACUUAGAGAGCUAAAAAAAUGUGGCUGGAAGAAGGAGAAGAAAACACCAGCUUUUUUCAUAAGGUUUGCAAUGCCAGAAGGAGGAGGAAUUAAAUAUUCGAUAUUUACGAUAGCAUAGGCUCUUGUUCUAAUACGAAUGAUGGCAUUGAAAGAGCUUUUAUUGAUGACUACAACUCCAUCUACUCCUCCAACAAUAAUAAUCCUCCCUCUGUCAUUGAGAAUCUCAAUUGGCAACCUAUAGAUAAUUCUCAAUCCACUCACCUUAAAACUCCUUUUCCUUUGGAAGAAAUCAAAGAGGCACUUUCAUCUUUUCACAGUAAUAAAGCACUAGGGCCAGACAGAUACACUAUAGACUUUUUUUUAAAAAAAAAUUGAAACAUUUUCAAGCCAAAUAUAUUGGAAGUGUUCUAGGAUUUUUUUCAAAAAUGGUGUGAUAAACAAAAAUAUGAAUGAAACAUAUAUCUCUCUAAUUGCCAAGAAAGAUAAAUGUAGGACUGAUGCAGAUUAUAGGCCUAUCAAUCUUACUACCUCCGUAUACAAGAUUCUUGCCAAGACUUUAGCCACAAGAGUGAAACUAUUAUUGCCUCAUACUAUAUCGAGCCAUCAAAUGGCCUUUAUUGACGAAAGAUAAAUUACUGAUGCAAUCUUAAUUACUAAUGAAGUCAUUGAUUUCUGGAAACGCAAGAAGAUAAAAGGCCUGAUCUUCAAGCUUGAUAAUGAAAAAGCUUUCGACAAGAUCAAGUGCAACUUCACUAUGCCUUGAUGAAAAAAAAAAAUCGGAUAUAUGGAGAAGAUGGAUGCAAUCCUUCAUUCCAACGGCUCAAUCUAUAUUUUGAUAAAUGGUAAACCAAGGGGGAGGAUCAUUCCUGAAAGAGGCAUCAGGCAAGGAGAUCCCAUUUCUCCCUUCAUAUUCGUGAUAGCUAUGGACUACCUCAGUAGAAUACUACAACACCUCGAACAAUCAAAUAUGCUUACAAGUAUAUCCAUCAAAGAUUUCAAUCUUACUCAUCUUCUCUUUGUAGAUGGUAUCUUGCUCUUUGUUGAGGAUAAAGAUGAAAAUAUAUAAACAUCCAAUAUGCUAUACACCUUUUUAAGGCGGCAACUGGUCUAAAUUAAACAUUAACCUUUCAAAAAUCUACCAUCUCUCCAAUAACGUUUUCACUGAAAGAUCAGAUCAUAUUGCAAAAAACUGGGGAAUAAAAUUGAAUUCAUGCCCAUCUCAUUCGGGUAUGCCGUUGGGGGUAAACCAAGCUCCAAACCUUUUUGGGACAACAUAAUAGAGAAGGUUUAGAAAAAAUUGAGUAACUGGAAAUACUCUCACAUUUCCAAAGGUGAGAGAACCACUCUAAUAAAGUCUUCCCUAUCUGUUUCCAAAGCCCCAUUACAGACAUGUGUAAAGUCAUUGAAAAGUAUUGAAGGAAUUUUCUUUGGAGAGGCAACUUUGAAAAUACUUGCAAUUCAAGCAACCACAAAAAAAAUUUAAAUCUAGAGGUCCAUCAUUGAGGCUAAAUAUUCAACUACUUGUCUGGAUGAUUUUUCCAUUAUUGCUAAAUAUAGCCGUCUAAAUGGUUCAUGCAUGAAGAUCCAUUUGCAAAGAUGUGAAAUGGUUUAACUCUCAUUUGGGCUGGAAAAUGAAAAAUUGCAUAAUGUUAUCUUUUUGGCACAGUAACUGGAGUUCAUUUGGUCCUCUUUACAAUUCUUUAACCAGAUUAUAUGCUCUUUCCACUCAGGAAAAUGGCUCCCUCAGAGAUAUGUGAAAUUUUGAACAAUGUGGGUGAGAUUUACACAAUAGAAGGCCCCUAAGAGAAAGAGAAGCUUCACAGUGAAGUAACAUUAGUGCAAACUUGCCCCCCGCUCCCAUUCCGAAAAACAAUCAAUUGGAUUGCUUCAUUUGGAAACCAAACAGAAAUAGUUCUUUUAUAGUUCAAUCUGCUCAAUUUGUCAGCCUUGCCUCUACCUUCUCUUCUCCUACCUUAGAUGGUCCCUUCUCCUACCAUUCAUGAACAUAUGGAAAUCAAAGAUUUUUAAAAAAUACAAAAUUUUCCUAUGGUUUGUUAUCCCACAAAGGAAUCUUUACAAAUGAGUCGAUUCAACACAUGCUAAAAAAUCUUUGUCUCAACCCAAAUUGUUGCAUCUUAUAUAAAAAUAGUAGUGAGACCACAUAUCACAUCUUCCUCCAUUGCUCUAUUGUCAAAUCUUUUUGGAACAAAGCAAAGGAUCUCACAGAAUCGGCAAAUAAUGUUGACAACCUUAUAGCUUUAUGCAAUCACAUCUGCACUAUACACGUUAAGUUUCAAAAGGGUUUGAUUCUUUUCAAACUUCUGAUGGACAUCACUUGGACAACUUGGUUGGACAGAAACAACAAACUCUUCAAUAAUAGUUAGGCCUCCUCCAUUAAUCUAUGGGAGAAUAAAUGCAACCUCACUAGUUUUUGGUUUACCAAACACAAGCUCUUCAAAACAUUAUUAUGCUUCUACAAUAGCUUUAAAUAUCAGUAUUUUUUGUUAGUUUAUGAGCUCUUACAUUAUGACUUAUCUUUAGCCUAUUUGUAACUGUUUUGAACUAUGUAUCCCUAUGUGCUUUAUUGAAUAUAUUUAUGAGAAUGAUGAUGACACUAAGAGGGUGUCCACCUAGUGGGGAUGCUUGGGUGCGCCUGCUGACCCAUCAAGUAUCAUUUUCUAAAAAUUGAAUGAGGAAUUGAAGUGUGUACUUAAUGAGCCAUUUGGGGCGAGGAGUAACUUAUGAUAAAUAGUUUAGGGAUUAUAAUCGUCUGAGUAUUAUAAUAGUGUGUGGAUUAUUAUAGUCUGCAUUUGGGUGUAGACUAUAAUAGUAUGUUUUCAUAGUCUACGUUUAAGGUGUAGACUAUUAUAGUCUGUGCCAUUAUAAGCUGUGUUUAAGAUGUAGACAGUUAUAAUAUGAGUUUUUCACUAUUUUUUUUGUGUACAUAUAUAUUGUACAUGAAAUACACAUUUUACUUCAAUCGAUUUUAUUAAAUUUGGUUAAUUAGGAUGCUCAUCUAAUAAAUUUAGCUUCAAACUAGAUUUUCCACCGCAUACAUGAAAUACACAUUUUUCUUACAUGAAUAUAGUAGUUUUGCAUUUUCAUUAUAAUUAUAGAAUACAACAAUAAACAUAAUCAAAUGGACCAUACUACUUUUCAAAUUACCAUUGAUAGAUUACAUUUCCUCCAAAAUAAACAUGGUCUUAAUUCAUUUACGUGGGUAAAAGAAAAAUGAGAUACGUAAAGAUGAAUACAUCUUGAGAUUUAUCUAAGCAUCGUUGUUUUUAAUUUUUUCACAAAAAAUUACUACAAAAUCAUACAUUGUAUCGAAACAUUUUUCCUUUUUUAUCACAUACUAGUUGUAAGCAUAUUUUUAACUUUUAAAAAAGUUUAAUUAAGUAUAAAUGUAACUUGAAAAAUAUUUUUUAAACAAAAUACCAUGGUCCUAGUUUUUAUAAAGAACACUAACAACUGAGAUAAUUUUCUAUAAUUUAGUUAGAGAACAAGACCUUUAUUAGUUAAAAUUAAAAUAUUUGGAUAAGAGUGAUAGGAACUAACUCAUAUGUUAAAGAAUUAUUUUAAUAUUUGGUUUCUCAAUUUUGAAAAGUAAAUAUAUUUUUUUUUGGUAAUAUUGUGAUAAAUCAUUUCAAAUAUAAUUUGGGUUUUAUACGUGUAGAUAUAGUUUUUUUUUCAAUGUAGGAUCCAUUUAAAUUUAAUUGAAAAUAAUUUUUUAAAUGAUUAAUGUUUGCUUUUUUGUAGGUUAGUUUUAGAAUCAUCAAAUUUAAAAAAGAAAUUUAAAUUUUAGAUUAAAAACAAUUAAAAUAUUUAUAAACUAUAAUAAAAUUUUAGAUUCUAUCAAUAAUAAAAACUGAUAGACUUCUAUUACUGGAUAUCAAUGCCACUAAUAUAAACAUAUCAAUGCAUGACUAUCAAUGUCUAUUACUGAUAGAAUCUGAAAAUUUUACUUGUAUAUAUUUUGUCAAAUUUGCUAUUUUUUACAAUUCCCCUAAAAAUAAUUGGAUGCAUGAAAGAUUAUUAGACGUAGAGCAGAAAUUUGGAGAUAGAAAAAACACCAUUUUAGAAAAAAAGUAAUUUGUGAUUUUAAUCGUUUCAAAACCACUCCCAAACAUAUCUUUUAACUUCUUUAUAAAUCCUUCUAAUAUAAACUAUAUAAUACUCUAAAAAAACUUACAAAGAGUGUUACACUUGCCUUAGUUCCCUUGUUUAGGGUGAUCCCAUCACAAAGUUGUUUAUAAAGCUUAGCAUAGGUAGGCCGUUUAUAAAGCUUAGCAUAGGUAGGCCAAUGCACCACGAUAGUUAGAGUUCUUGGCAAAAUAUAAGUCAGUCAAUGACCAUAACUCUCUUGUACUUGCGAGUUCUCUCUUGCUUUUGUCUCUAUGCAAACCAUACUUGAGGAGGUUAAUUUGGAUUAUUAAGAGAUCGGAGAUGUGGAUGAAGAUGAGAGUGGUGUGAGGAACACAAACACACAUAUAUAUAGGCUCUUGUUUCGUACAUUAAUGUUUAAAGAAUAGGACAUGGUAAUUAGCUAUUUUGAUGUCGCUUGUGUAAAGGUAUCUGAUACUUUUAAAAGUAACGAUUUAAUGUCAAGGUGAGUAUUACUAUUUAUACUGUAAAUUAAUUUUAAGAUUAGACCUUUUAAUUUUCUAUGGUCAAAAAAGGAAAAAAAUAAAGUAAAUGGUUUAAUUCUCUAUAUCUCUUUUUUUUCUUUUUCUCUUCCCCCUUAACUUUGUUUCACAUAUAUCUAUUUUUUUUAUACAUUAAUUUUUAUUUUUAUUUUUAAAUUAAAAUGUAUUAUAUGAAAACUAACUUCAUAACAAUCUAUAGAAUUAACAUAAUUAAUUAUUUUAACCAAUUCUGUAGUAUUUAAUAAAAUUAAGGUAUGAUUGAGUGAGGAAUUGAAGUGUGUACUCUUUUUAUUGGUUAGAAUAUAUUACAUUUUAGUAUUUUAUGGGAAAUUUUAAUCAGUAAAAUAAUCUAUAUAUAUCAAUUUAUACUAUGAGAAUUUACAAAAAUAACAAAAGAAAAAAUCUAGUAUUUACAAAAAUAAUAAAAGAAAAAAUUAAGAUAAUAGAGUCCAUGUCACUUACAUUUUCAAAAUUAUAAAAAUAGCAAAUUUAAAAGUAGAUUACUGUUUGAUUACCAUCGUAUUUGCCAAAUUUGCACUAUGCAAAAAAGAGGUGUUAUAGACUUUUUUUUAUAAUUUUUUUGUCAUCUAAUGCAAUUUCCUUUUACAUUAAUCCGCUUUUUUUCUUUUCAUUAUGACAUCUUUUCGCAAAUAUAAUUGUUGUUGCUCUUUAGUUUGUAUCUCACAUAUGGUACGAUUCCUCUUCUGAUCAAUUCUCUAGAAAAUCUCGCAUACCAAUCAGAACAACAAAUGAUUAAAUCGUCUAGUUGAACAAAAACUGCAAAACAGAAAACAUGUUAGUAGAUGACUGAGUCGCAGAUCACGCUCUCUUUAAGAUGUUUCGCGACUCUGCUCUCUUUGUGCAAACAAUAUGAUAGCCUCGUCGUCUCUAGGAUAAAACAGCCUUGAUCUUCAAUUGGUUUUGCAUAGAAACCAACUGAAAUUCACAAACACUCAAGAUGAUAUUGUGUUGCUUAGUACACAAAAAGUAAUUUUGUUUUGGGAGAGUAUGAAAUCAGGAGAAUUUUCUUUUUCUACGAUGUUUAGGUGAAGAAAGACUGUAUAUAUAGAAGUGGAGAGGGUUAAUGACCAAUUAAUCUAGAAAAUGAAAAUAAUUAUCAAUUAAUUCAGAAAAUAAAGGUUUUGGAAAGUCAAAAGUCAAAGAAAAACGUUUUAGUAAAAAUAUAUAUUAUUUUAUUCCUCCUCGCCCACUCGAGGAGGUCGUGUGGAGAUAUGAGCAUAUCUACAUUUGCCUAUCUCCUUUCUCCUACCAAGAGUCCAAACCAUUAAUGAAUCAAUGGGUAUAUGAAGCGACUUCCACAUUGCAAAUUAAGCAACAUGGGAAUGCAAUGUGGAAAUAAAAUAAUAAUAUAUUUCUUCUUUCACACAUUUUUCAUCCAAUAAUAACAAAGCAGAAAAAUAUUUACACCGUAUAGAAUAAUUUUUAAAAUAGAAAAAGCUCAUAAACCCACUAUGAAAAAUUCCAAAAAAGCUCGAUUAAUUGACAUCCAGCACACGUAAUAUAUUUGGCAAACGAUUGUUUAGAUUUGAUCAUUUUUCCUACAUGAUUGUUUAGAUUUGAUCGUUUUUCCAAAUCAAAAUGAUGUUUUUAUGUUUUUUUUUUUUUUUUGUACACGAUUGUUUGUGUUUAUCGUUUAAAUUUGGGUUGUCAAAUCUCAACGGUUUUUUUUCAAGAUUUUUUGGAACUCGUUUAUAUAAGGAAAAGACCGUUUAAAUUUGGUAAUGAUCGUUUAUAUUUGAAACACGAUCGUUUAUAUUUGACCGUUCCAAAUCUAAAUGAUUUUUUAAAGAUUCUUUGUACAUGAUCGUUAAGAUUUGACUAUCCAAUAUCUCAACAAUUUUUUUUCACGAUUUUUUUAUAUUUGGAAUAACUAAAUAUCAAUUUGAAAACUAAAAAAUUACACAAGAAGAGAAAAUGAUGAUGGAAAGAAAAAAAAAUUCGUAGAAGAGAAAGAAAAGAAAGACGAUGAAAAUGAAAAGGCAAACCUGAAAUAUUUUAAAUGAAUUUGUAUUACAUAAUGAACCAUCUUAAUUUAUUAAUGCCUAUACAUAAUAUAUAUUGUAUUACAUACCGUUUCAAAAGUAACGAUGUUUUCUUUCAACACAAAUAUCAAAUAUAGUCAUUAUCCACAAAAUAUAUUAACAUGACAUUUUCAAAUAUAGUAUAAUAUACCAAAAUAAUUAUAAAAUAUAACAAAAUUUUAGAGAUUGUUAACCAAUGUCUAUUAGUGUCUAUCAUUGAUAGAUAUAAUAUUUUGUAAAUAUUUUUAAUAAUUUUGUUAUUUACAAUAAUGUUUGUAGCUUGGUUCCUGUUUUUUCUUCGGAGAAAAGAAAAAUGAAAACAAAAUUGGUAUUUUAGUAUCAAGCAACUGUCAUUCCCUUAGGAAAAUACAUUUCAUAUAGUUUCACGAAGGAUAUACUUUAUCAAUAAAGUUAAGUCUCUGUUAACUUUAAUAUUAACUUUAACUUUAAUAUUUUUAGUUUCAUAUUAGAUUGAUACAAAGAGUUCAUAUAGUCAAUUCGAGUUGGAUGAAGAGCAUAUGGUGCUUGCUGAUUUUUUGGGUUGCCACAUUUGAUUUUAUAAUGAAUUAAAUAUAUUUUGGGUUAGAUAAGUUUUUGUUGAUACUGCAUAUAUAUAGGUGUGAUAUUUUGUUGAUAUAUUUGGAUAUAUCUAGAUGAAUUAGUUUAGUUGAUACUUUUGUUGAUACACCUAUAGUUAGGCUACACCUAUAGUUAGGCUGUUUUGUUAGAAAAGUUAGGCUAACUAUACAUGUAUGUAUAUGGUUCCAUUGAUAUUAUAUAUGUUAAAAUAUUAUUAAAAGUUCUUUGAUGGAAAUUAAAGUUAGUUCAUUCAAUUGUUCAACAAGUGUGAUCUCUUGUAUUACUUAUAUACAUUCGGCUACAAAACAGGUGCACGAAACAUUAUGAAGAUAUUUUAAAAUAUAUAAUUUUUUUUUCAAAGAAAAACUUAACUUGCAAAACAUGUCAAGAGUACAUGCAAAAAAUGUCAAGAAAUCACAUGUACUUAACGUUUAUAAACUAUCAAGUAUAACACUACUUGACGCUUAAAAUCUGUCAAACAAAAUCACUCUUAUUCUUGACACUAGAUUACUUGACGAUUAAAAAGUGUCAAGUAAUCUCAUAUACUUGACGUCUUUUACCUGUCAAGUAAACUGGUUUUACUUGACGAUUAAAACCAGUCAAAUAUACCUUCUUUAUUCUUGACACUGGAUUACUUAACACUUUUAAAAGCGUCAAGUAAACCUUUACUUGACAGUUUUUAAGCGUCAACUAAGGCCAAUUUUGUAGUAAUUGCUGUCUAGAUUCACACCACAAUCUAGGUUACUAGUUUCCAUUAUUUCAUUGUUUUUUAGUAUACCAUCCAAUGCUUCUUAACAUCAACAUUUUCUUUUGAGAUUCUAGAAUUAUUUGUCUAACUCUUGCGCUAUAUUUGUAAUAAAUAUAUAUAACAGAAAUAUAGAGCAAAAUAUAUAUAUAUAUAUAUAUAUAUAUAUAUAUAUAUAUAUAAAUAAAUAUACUAAGUAGAAGGUAGUUUUCUAUAUUAUAUAUAUAUCUUUAUUAAUUUUUUUUUUAUUGAACACUAUUACUGUAUUACAUAGUGAUAUUGUUGUUUAUAUUAGAAAACAAAGUAGAGUGUAGUAUACCUCUCUCAUUUAUUUAAACCAAACUACAAGUAGGGUAGUGGGAGUGGGAGUGAGAGAGAUGUAGUGAUUUAUAUUUUUAGCAUCCGCAACUGGAUUGUUUGGGUCGAAUUUCGAAACCUUUAAAUUUCAACCCCGUCUUCCAUUGACUACUGUGAUUGUACACUCUAAACUCAUACUCCUUAUCACUGUUACAAUCAUGUUUGUCGACCUUGAAUUCCCCAAUCUUGAUCGUAAACCAAACAUCUCGUGGCUUACAUUGUAGGCUUUCUUUGGUCUCAAUUUUUUUUCCAUCUGGGAGGGUGAUUACAAAGAUAACAGGUUCUUGCCAUCCAGAGGCACAAGGUGUAACGCAAACAUGACAUAAUACUUCAUAUAGAACUCCAGAUGAUAGUGCGUAUUGCUUCAACUUUCCACUUAUAUCCAACCAACAUACUUUUAUAAGCUGUGCCACGUCAAUUUUCUUACUGCCAAAUUUUUUUUACACCAUCAUCAACAAGUAAACAACUUUAAGAAAAAAUUACUAGCUACUAAAAAACAGUAUAUUUUUAUGCAUUCCAUCUAAUUGUCUGUAGAACGAAAAUUUUCUUUUCACGUCAUUUUUUUUAAAUCGUAAAUUUGGUCUUUAUUAGUUUAAGUAAAAGGUUAAGUUCAAUUUAGUCUUAUGAAAUUUUAGAAAGUGAUUUUAUUAAAGGGACAUUUUUAAAAAUAGCAAAAUAAAUUAAAAUAUCUACAAGUUAUAGCAAAAUUUUGAAUUCUAAUCUUCUAUCAUUAUAGUAUAUCAGUGACUAUCAAUAAUAAAAUUUGCUAUAGGUUAUAAAUUUUUUGUAAAAUUUACGGUUUUUGAAAAUUUUCCUUUAUUAAAUCAUAAAAACUAACUUUUUCUCAUUCCUAUUCCAAUGUCAGUAAUUUAAUCUAUUUGUUCUCUAUAAAACCAUUCCUCAAAAUUACAUCCAAUCAACCUUUUUAAUUUUAAUUACUAAAUAAACAAUAAAAAUUAAAGUUCAUUCAAAUUUAAACCUAAUCUUUUAUGUUUUAUUUUUUUCAUUUUUUUAAAGUCAGAAUAUACCUUCCAUUGUUCAAGAUUUUGUUUUCCAACACACAAGAAAAAAAAAUAGUAAGUUAAGAAAAUAAAAAGAAAACAAAUAGGACAGAAUGAGAUAUAUUUAAGGUUAAAAUUCCAGUUUUGUCCUUCUAAUUUAAAUUUUGUUUAAUUUUAAUCCAUACCUUUCCAUCAUAAUAAAUCUUAAAUUUAGUCGCUAACCUGAAUAAGUAUUUUCUAAAUUUAUGGUAAAGUUGUUUAUACAUAAACUUAGGUAAAAUCAACCCUAAGCAAGUUCUAUGGACUAAAACUUAAAUUUAUUGAAAGGGGAAGAAUUAUAUACUGCUUUCAAAUAUAACAAACUAAGUAAACUAACUUAUAAAUUUAUAACAAAUUAAAUUGACGUAAACACUGUAAAUAUGUAUAUGUGUAAAUCGGGAUAUUUUGUCACAUUCAAAAAUUGAUAUUUUAAAGUAUAGAAACUAGAACGAUAUUUAAUGAUAGUAAAAAAAAAAUAAACAUACCCAUAGAUCUCCCCGGGUAUCCAUUUCCAGUAUUGACAAUCAUCGAUCCAAAUUAUUGUGAGGGAUUUUGGAAGUAGGACAUACCUAUUACCCUUUCCCUUUUUGUCAAACCAAUAAAGCUGCAAACAAACUAAUCAUACUCAGCUCUUUGAACACAAUUAUCGAUCCAAGCUAUUACGAGGGAUUUUAGUGAUUUCAAAACCAAUCUCAAAUAUAUCUUUUAACUACUUUAUAAAUCAUAGUGUAAACAAAUUAAAAAGAAUGUUAGACUUGCCUUAGUUCCCUUGUUUAGGGUGAUUCCAGCAAUAAGUUGUUGAUAGAGCUUAGCAUAGGUAGGCCAAUGCACCGUGACAUUUAGAGUUUUUGGCAAAAUAUAAGUAAGACAAUGACCAUAACUCUCCUGUAUUUGCAAGCUCUCUCUUGCUU